rnacentral:rRNA from 1 species
UACGUAGGGUGCAAGCGUUAAUCGGAAUUACUGGGCGUAAAGCGUGCGCAGGCGGUCAUGUAAGACAGCUGUGAAAUCCCCGGGCUCAACCUGGGAACUGCAUCUGUGACUGCAUUGCUGGAGUACGGCAGAGGGGGAUGGAAUUCCGCGUGUAGCAGUGAAAUGCGUAGAUAUGCGGAGGAACACCGAUGGCGAAGGCAAUCCCCUGGGCCUGUACUGACGCUCAUGCACGAAAGCGUGGGGAGCAAACAGG